rnacentral:rRNA from 1 species
AAUGAACGCUGGCGGCGCGCCUAACACAUGCAAGUCGAACGAGAAAUCUCGAGCUUGCUCGAGAGAGUAAAGUGGCGCACGGGUGAGUAACGCGUGGGUAACCUGUCCUUAAAUCUGGGAUAAUCCACCGAAAGGUGGCCUAAUACCGGAACAGUCCCAGGAACCAUGGUUCUUGGGAUGAAAGCUGAUCUCUUCUUGAAAGUUGGCAUUUAAGGAGGGGCCCGCGUACCAUUAGCUUGUUGGUAGGGUAAAGGCCUACCAAGGCUACGAUGGUUAGCUGGUCUGAGAAGACGGCCAGCCACACUGGAACUGAAACACGGUCCAGACUCCUAUGGGAGGCAGCAGUGAGGAAUUUUGCGCAAUGGGGGAAACCCUGACGCAGCGACGCCGCGUGAGUGAAGAAGGCCUUCGGGUCGUAAAGUUCUGUCAAGUGGGAAUAAAGCUGUGCAUUUAAUAAGUGUACAGUCUGAAGGUACCACUGAAGGAAGCACCGGCUAACUCCGUGCCAGCAGCCGCGGUAAUACGGAGGGUGCAAGCGUUAUUCGGAUUUAUUGGGCGUAAAGAGCGUGUAGGCGGUUGGGUCAGUCAGGUGUGAAAGCCUUCUGCUCAACGGAAGAAGUGCAUCUGAAACUACCUAACUUGAGUACGGGAGAGGAAAGUGGAAUUCCCAGUGUAGAGGUGAAAUUCGUAGAUAUUGGGAGGAACACCUGUGGCGAAGGCGACUUUCUGGAUCGAUACUGACGCUGAGACGCGAAAGCGUGGGGAGCAAACAGGAUUAGAUACCCUGGUAGUCCACGCCGUAAACGAUGGGAACUAGGUGUAGCGGGUAUUGAUCCCUGCUGUGCCGAAGCUAACGCAUUAAGUUCCCCGCCUGGGGAGACGGUCGCAAGGCU